UUGGAAUAAUACCCCAUACGAUCUUUACUUGGCAUCGAGUAAAGAAGAAAACUUCGGUGGUAGAAGAUGGGCAUGCGUCCUAUUAGUUAGUUGGUGAGGUAACGGCUCACCAAGACAUCGAUAGGUAGGGGCCCUGAGAGGGGGAUCCCCCACACUGGUACUGAGACACGGACCAGACUCCUACGGGAGGCAGCAGUGAGGAAUAUUGGACAAUGGAGGCAACUCUGAUCCAGCCAUGCCGCGUGCAGGAAGACUGCCCUAUGGGUUGUAAACUGCUUUUAUACAGGAAGAAACUGCGCUACGUGUAGCGUACUG
rnacentral:rRNA from 1 species